CUCCUGGAAAUGCCCCCUGACGCAGACCCAGUUGUUGGGUAGCCACCCAUGCACGUUGACACAGCCAGCACCGAGCACCCAGGGGGAUGGAACCAGGAAUGGAGGAUGGUCCAAUAGGGUAGCAUCAUGAAGGCAGUUUACCCCUGAAACUUUUUACAAAGGACCAUCAUCGUCAGAGAAGUUCCUUUAACCCUUUAUCUCCCAUAGCGGCCGUGAACGCCCGGCCACCUCUCUCCCAUAACGCCCGCCGACACCCGGAGUAUUUUCAUAGCUGAACAGAAGUCAUCAUGCAGUUUCUACAGCUUUCACUUUAGAUCACUAUUACAGACUCUCAAUAUAUUUUUAUUAUAAAAACUAUUUUGGGAAAUCCUGAACUACAGUGCAAAGUGGCUGAGCUCAAAAGUACGGGCUCGCUGCUGCUGCCCAGUAGAAAAUAUCUUUUAAAUGCAGUACAGUUCCUAAUUGUGCGUUCAUGUGGUAAUUACGUAAAUACCAAACACUGACAUCCGAAGCACACAUGAACGCCACCGGCCCUUGUAGAAAUUUUUGAUUAAUGAAUGCACUACAUCUCUUCUCUUGCCUUCCUCUCUUCUCCACAAGCUCUCCCCUCAUCUAAUCUC